UCGCCUGUUUUACAAAAACAUCUCUUCUUGUAAUUAAUAUGAAGUUUGACCUGCCCGUUGAUAUUUUGAAAGGCCGCAGUAUUUUAACUGUGCAAAGGUAGCAUAAUCAUUAGUCUUUUAAUUGAAGGCUUGUAUGAAUGGUUGGACGAGAUAUUGGCUGUUUCAAUUGAAUUUUUAUUAGAAUUUUAUUUUUUAGUUAAAAAGCUAAAAUGUUGUUAGAGGACGAGAAGACCCUAUAGAUCUUUAUAAUUAGUUGUAAUAUAGCUAUGUAGAAGAAUUAAGUUAUGUUGAAUUAUAUUAUUUUGUUGGGGUGACAUUGAAAUUAAAUUAACUUUCAAUAAAUUUUUACAUAGAUUGUUGGUUUGUUGAUCCACUAUUAGUGAUUAUAAGAUUAAGUUACCUUAGGGAUAACAGCGUAAUUUUUGUGGAGAGUUCAUAUCGAUACAAGAGAUUGCGACCUCGAUGUUGGAUUAAAAUAUAAUACUAGGCGCAGCAGUUUAGUUUUUAAGUCUGUUCGACUUAUAAAGUUUUACAUGAUCUGAGUUCAAAACCGGAGA
rnacentral:rRNA from 1 species